rnacentral:rRNA from 1 species
AUUGAACGCUGGCGGCAGGCCUAACACAUGCAAGUCGAACGGUAACAGGAAGAAGCUUGCUUCUUUGCUGACGAGUGGCGGACGGGUGAGUAAUGUCUGGGAAACUGCCUGAUGGAGGGGGAUAACUACUGGAAACGGUAGCUAAUACCGCAUAACGUCGCAAGACCAAAGAGGGGGACCUUCGGGCCUCUUGCCAUCGGAUGUGCCCAGAUGGGAUUAGCUAGUAGGUGGGGUAACGGCUCACUUAGGCGACGAUCCCUAGCUGGUCUGAGAGGAUGACCAGCCACACUGGAACUGAGACACGGUCCAGACUCCUACGGGAGGCAGCAGUGGGGAAUAUUGCCCAAUGGGCGCAAGCCUGAUGCAGCCAUGCCGCGUGUAUGAAGAAGGCCUUCGGGUUGUAAAGUACUUUCAGCGGGGAGGAAGGGAGUAAAGUUAAUACCUUUGCUCAUUGACGUUACCCGCAGAAGAAGCCCCGGCUAGCUCCGUG